rnacentral:rRNA from 1 species
GAUGAACGCUAGCGGCAGGCCUAAUACAUGCAAGUCGAGGGGCAGCACGGUAGCAAUACUGGUGGCGACCGGCGCACGGGUGCGUAACGCGUAUGCAACUUACCCUUUACAGGGAGAUAGCCCGGAGAAAUUCGGAUUAAUAUCCCAUAGUAUAUAGAUUUGGCAUCAGAUUUAUAUUAAAGAUUUAUCGGUAAAGGAUGGGCAUGCGUGUCAUUAGCUAGUUGGUGAGGUAAUGGCUCACCAAGGCGACGAUGACUAGGGGUACUGAGAGGUUACACCCCCACACUGGUACUGAGACACGGACCAGACUCCUACGGGGAGGCAGCAGUAAGGAAUAUUGGACAAUGGGCGAGAGCCUGAUCCAGCCAUGCCGCGUGCAGGAUGACGGUCCUAUGGAUUGUAAACUGCUUUUGUAUGGGAAUAAACCCAGAUACGUGCAUCUGGCUGAAUGUACCAUAAGAAUAAGGAUCGGACUAACUCCGUGCCAG